rnacentral:lncRNA from 1 species
CAAUAGUACGAAACUAUAAAUAAAUACUGUUACAGCUGUCGUUAUAUGUAUAUUUCUAAAUAUAAGCGGAAAUAUGAUGUCUUACAAAAUAGUAGCGUUCUGCGUCUUGUUAUCAAUAUUCCUACUGACGAUGACGUCCGCUGAACAAAUGACCUUAAGACGUCUUCGAAGGCAAACAGAUUGCAUUUGCAUGCCCGACCUGAGUUGCCAAACAACGGUUGACCGGAGCAUAACUUGCCCCCAGCUGUUCUAUGUUUGUUGUAUUCUGUAGAAAAUGACAAUAAGACCUGCAUCUGAAUGAACCGCUUGCCUGCAAGUGAAUAUUAAAUUGUCAACACAAUUUUUUGAAUCUGCAAUCUGUUACUAUUAUAUGUAUAGAGAUAGAGUAAACACGUAAAAGUUCGCAUAAAUUCAUUUUUUCGUGUAUGGGCGAUUUUGGAAAUAUAUCUCGAAAUAGGUCAAUUUGUAUUAUUAAAUUAUGCCAUUCAUUUUGGCAUAUAUAUCAUACUAGUGACGUCAUCCAUCUGGGCGUGAUGACGUAAUCGAUGAUUUUUUAUAAUCAGAAUAGUGGUCGUGUGCUAGCUCAUUUGACAGAUUAUUCAAUUGUCUAUGCAGUAGUAUAAGCAUUAACAUAAUAGGGAACUUACACAUUUUUUUAUUACGUAAUAAUGUUCAGUUUUGUUUAAAAAUGAGAUUUCCAAAAUUUCACGCUUCAAAAACUCAUAAUAACUUAGAAAUAUAAAUUUAGAAUCUUCUGCGAUAGCCAAAUAGUUCAAAAGACCCGUGACGUCACAUAGUUUAACUAUAUGGUUAUAUUUAUGGUUAUAUUUUGGUAUAUUCUUCUUCUCCUUCUUUAGUUUAUUGGUCUUCACCUACUUGGGUAUUUGGCCAGACCAUCGUCGCGCAAUAAGGGGAAAAUAUUUAUAUUCUAAUGACAUUAUUAUCGUAUGUCAUUGUAAUAAUAUAUAUCAGUUUGUUGGAACGAAGGAAAGAAGGUAUAUGAAAAAUAAAACCAUUUUGUGAAAGUACAAGUUUUCUAUGAAUAGCUCAAAAGAUCAAAAACACUUGUGACGUCACAUAACUGUAUUUUCGACUGACGUUUAUAAUGUAUAAUUUAAAAUUAUAUACAAUUUUGUUUACUUUGUUGGUGCAGAAUGUAAACAUUAACCUUAUUACGUCACGACUCGUUUUGGGCUAGUUGCUUUAAUUUGAAUUGAUAAUCGUUUUAGGUGCCAAACGGAACACAAAAACAACUUUUUUAUCGUUGAUACAUGUUUUAAAUUAUGUUCUGUGGCGAUUUAUAACAUUUUUUUCGAAUUUAAAAUUUUAUGCAAGUUCCCUAUUAUUUAUAAGCAGUCUUAAAAUUUUUUUUAAUUAAAUUAAUUGACGAAAAAAGAAGAAUACCUAUAUGUAAUUUAUUUAAUGCAAAAUACAUUUUACUUAUUUACAAAUACAUUUAAGCGCAAAAUACAUUUUACGCUUAAAUUAAAUUCGCUGAGAUGAGUCGUAGCUUGAAAUUUAAAAGUCAAUUAAUUUAACUCAAAACGUUUUUCUGACACCCUGUAUAAAUAAUUAGGUUAAUGUUGAUAUUACUAAAUAUCCUUUCAAAUAAGCUAGUCCAUGACCCCAUAUUCUCAUAUAAAUAAAUCAUCGAUUACGUCAUCACGCCCAGAUUAAUGACGUCACUAGUAUGAUAUAUAUGCCAAAAAAUUAUAAUUAAAAAAUAAAAAAUUUACUCGUUUCGGGAUCUAUUUGUAAAAUCUCCCAGUCACGAAAAAAUGAAUCUAUGCGAACCUUUACGUGUUCACUGUAUAUCUUUUCAAAUGUCUGGAAAAAUAAAAUAUAAUUAAAUCAUAA